AGCAGCCGCGGUAAUUCCAGCUCCAAUAGCGUAUAUUAAAGUUGUUGCAGUUAAAAAGCUCGUAGUUGAAUUUCGGGGUUAGUAGGUUGGUCAUGCCUCUGGUAUGUACUGGUCUCACUGAUUCCUCCUUCCUGAUGAACCUUAAUGCCAUUUAUUUGGUGUUUUGGGGAAUUUGGACUGUUACUUUGAAAAAAUUAGAGUGUUUAAAGCAAGUUAACGCUUGAAUACAUUAGCAUGGAAUAAUGAAAUAGGACGUUCGAUCCUAUUUUGUUGGUUUCUAGGAUUGACGUAAUGAUUAAUAGGGAUAGUUGGGGGCAUUAGUAUUCAAUUGUCAGAGGUGAAAUUCUUGGAUUUAUUGAAGACUAACUACUGCGAAAGCAUUUGCCAAGGAUGUUUUCAUUAAUCAAGAACGAAAGUUAGGGGAUCGAAGACGAUCAGAUACCGUCGUAGCCUUAACCAUAAACUAUAGCCGACUAGGGAUCGGAUGAUGUUAAUUUUUAAUGACUCAUUCGGNGCCCCU
rnacentral:rRNA from 1 species